UCCACCAAGGCCCAACAGUUCCCUUAAAUCUAAUCAAGCAGCACCAAAUUUCCCAAUUUAUUUUGUUUUGAGAUAUAAGAACACAUGGCAAGACAAAUGCAUUUGUGGUCUUUUUAUCAUCUGCAGAACACUGUGUUGUUGGUUGAUGUUGGCGUGUGGGCUUGUAUCUUAAAAGAGAAUAAAGACAAAGAUUCUUCCUUGGAGAAAUCAACUGUCAGUAAGUGUCUGUGCUUCCAGACAAGUAUGAAGCAAGAGAGAAAAUACCAGAACCUUCAACUAUUACUACCUGUCAUUUAAAACAAGGUGACCUCUUAUUGUAUAUUUCUAUUCCAAUUACUUUCAACAUUCUAUUGCCAGCCAACAGUUUGUGAUAGAGUUUGUCAAUCAAAAAUUUAGCAAAUAAAAUAUAGCUUUUUUUUUUUUAAAGUUUUGUCUAAUGCAUGAAUGUAAUAUCCCAGACGGAUCUGAUAUGACAAUAUUGAUAAUACUUAGCUUUUUAAUUUACGACAUGAUAAAUAUGCAAAUGUAGCCGAACAGUGAGAAGUUUUAGUCCCAUUUUAUUUAAUGCUUAAAGCAGAUGACUAAUCCUUUUUCCUCAUAAUAUGUUUAUGAACACGUGUGUGCCUGUCCCCAUUUCUCUGGAACAUUUCAUCACACUGAUCCUGUUACUAUGAUAAGAAAACCGGUUGUAAACUUUUUAUUUUUGCCACACCCAAAUCCUGACCUGUGUGUAUCACAAAGUGUUUGCAUACAAAUAUGAGCUCUAGGUCCUCGUACAGAUCACUGGGUUUCCUUAUUCCAUGCAGCCAGAGGACAGGAGCUCCGAACCCUCAGUUUCCUUCCAGAAAAGAUCCUUCAUUACUUCUUUAGGACGAGAGCUCACUGUAAACAUGGUUGAUAGAAGCAUUGCACUGGAGGCUCUGGGAGCACUCUGCACUGGCAACGUGACGUCUGUCCAGCAACAAGCAUCACCAGCUGGUUUGUCCAGAAGGAACCUUCAAGUGGGACCACGGCAGAAUCUGUCCAUCAAGCUUCUCAUCCCGACUGUCAUUGAUGGAGAUGAACACUCGUGGAGUCCAGAAGACAAGAAGGAAAACAACGCUCAUCAACCUCUCCUUCUGAUCCACAUCCUCCUGAACACGUGGACCUGCUGGCCUCUGCAGUAAACUGGACUCAUCAGGUUUCUGUCUCCAGAAACUGAUGAUGAUCCAGUUAAGACGACAACAGAGUUUUGAAUCAAUGAAAUCUUUACUGAAUUCUGAGUAUUAUGUUUUAAAUUAUGAAAAUAUUCAGAGGAUGCUGAGGUUUUUCUGCACCUGACUGUACUUUUCAUCGUCUCUGUCUCUGGGCUCUUAUUAAUGUUUGAAUAAAUGUUGUUAUUGUCACUACUGUA